AGCGAACGCUGGCGGCAGGCCUAACACAUGCAAGUCGAACGAACCUUUCGGGGUUAGUGGCGGACGGGUGAGUAACACGUGGGAACGUGCCUUUAGGUUCGGAAUAACUCAGGGAAACUUGUGCUAAUACCGAAUGUGCCCUUCGGGGGAAAGAUUUAUCGCCUUUAGAGCGGCCCGCGUCUGAUUAGCUAGUUGGUUGAGGUAAUGGCUCACCAAGGUGACGAUCAGUAGCUGGUCUGAGAGGAUGAUCAGCCACAUUGGGACUGAGACACGGCCCAAACUCCUACGGGAGGCAGCAGUGGGGAAUCUUGCGCAAUGGGCGAAAGCCUGACGCAGCCAUGCCGCGUGAAUGAUGAAGGUCUUAGGAUUGUAAAAUUCUUUCACCGGGGACGAUAAUGACGGUACCCGGAGAAGAAGCCCCGGCUAACUUCGUG
rnacentral:rRNA from 1 species